rnacentral:rRNA from 1 species
AACGCUGGCGGCAGGCCUAACACAUGCAAGUCGAGCGGCAGCGGGGAGUAGCUUGCUACUCUGCCGGCGAGCGGCGGACGGGUGAGUAAAGUCUGGGGAUCUGGCUUAUGGAGGGGGAUAACCAUUGGAAACGGUGGCUAAUACCGCAUGAUGUCGCAAGACCAAAGUGGGGGACCUUAGGGCCUCACGCCAUGAGAUGAACCCAGAUGAGAUUAGCUAGUAGGUGCGGUAAUGGCGUACCUAGGCGACGAUCUCUAGCUGGUCUGAGAGGAUGACCAGCCACACUGGAACUGAGAGACGGUCCAGACUCCUACGGGAGGCAGCAGUGGGGAAUAUUGCACAAUGGGCGGAAGCCUGAUGCAGCCAUGCCGCGUGUGUGAAGAAGGCCUUAGGGUUGUAAAGCACUUUCAGCGGGGAGGAAGGCGGUAAGAGUAAUAUGCUUAUCGAUUGACGUUACCCGCAAAAGAAGCACCGGCUAACUCCGUGCCAGCAGCCGCGGUAAUACGGAGGGUGCGAGCGUUAAUCGGAAUAACUGGGCGUAAAGGGCAUGUAGGCGGUAAGUUAAGUCAGAUGUGAAAUCCCCGAGCUUAACUUGGGAACGGCAUUUGAGACUGGCUGGCUAGAGUUUUGUAGAGGGGGGUAGAAUUCCAGGUGUAGCGGUGAAAUGCGUAGAGAUCUGGAGGAAUACCGGUGGCGAAGGCGGCCCCCUGGACAAGGACUGACGCUGAGGUGCGAAAGCGUGGGUAGCAAACAGGAUUAGAUACCCUGGUAGUCCACGCUGUAAACGAUGUCGAUUUGGAGGUUGUGACCUAGUGUUAUGGCGUCCGAAGCUAACGCGAUAAAUCGACCGCCUGGGGAGUACGGCCGCAAGGUUAAAACUCAAAUGAAUUGACGGGGGCCCGCACAAGCGGUGGAGCAUGUGGUUUAAUUCGAUGCAACGCGAAGAACCUUACCUACUCUUGACAUCCACGGAAUUUGGCAGAGAUGCUUAAGUGCCUUCGGGAGCCGUGAGACAGGUGCUGCAUGGCUGUCGUCAGCUCGUGUUGUGAAAUGUUGGGUUAAGUCCCGCAACGAGCGCAACCCUUGUCCUUUGUUGCCAGCGCGUAAUGGUGGGAACUCAAAGGAGACUGCCGGUGAUAAACCGGAGGAAGGUGGGGAUGACGUCAAGUCAUCAUGGCCCUUACGAGUAGGGCUACACACGUGCUACAAUGGCGCAUACAAAGAGCGGCGAGCGUGCGAACGUAAGCGAACCUCAUAUAAAGUGCGUCGUAGUCCGGAUUGGAGUCUGCAACUCGACUCCAUGAAGUCGGAAUCGCUAGUAAUCGUGGAUCAGAAUGCCACGGUGAAUACGUUCCCGGGCCUUGUACACACCGCCCGUCACACCAUGGGAGUGGGCGGCAAAAGAAGUAGGUAGC